rnacentral:rRNA from 1 species
UACAGAGGUGGCAAGCGUUGUUCGGAAUUACUGGGCGUAAAGGGCGCGUAGGCGGCUCGAUAAGUCUUGCGUGAAAUCCCCCGGCUCAACUGGGGAACUGCGCGGGAAACUGCCGGGCUUGAGUUCGGGAGAGGGAAGCGGAAUUCCGGGUGUAGCGGUGAAAUGCGUAGAUAUCCGGAGGAACACCGGUGGCGAAGGCGGCUUCCUGGACCGACACUGACGCUGAGGCGCGAAAGCUAGGGGAGCAAACGGG